UAGGGGAUAAUGGGAGCCCAUAGGGAUGAAUGGGAGCCCAUAGGUAAUAAUGGGAGCCUGCAAUAGCGACCUCCUGCAGGUAGGGGGCGCUGUAACACCGAGUCCCAUAGGGAAUAAUGGAGCCCAUAGGGAAUAACGGAGUUCCAUAGGGAAUAAUGGGGUCCGACCACACGGUCCUCCUGCAGGUAGGGGGCGCUGUAACGCCGAGUCCCAUAGGGAAUAAUGGAGUCCCAUAGGGGAUAAUGGGAGCCCAUAGGGAAUAAUGGGAGCCCACAGGGAUGAAUGGGAGCCAGCAAUGGAGUCCUUCUGCAGCCGUGCCCCGAGGACUCGCUGACCCCAAUGAGGCUGGCCGUCAAUUACUCCCUGGACCCCGAAUACCCCACAGACCCCACAGACGACCCCAUUGCCGUCAUAGACCCCAUAACCAACUCGGCCUGGAUUGAGGUGCCGUACGAGCAGCGCUGCGGCUCGGCCGGGCUGUGUGACCCGAUGUGAGUUUGUCGGCUAGAGCGCCCCUGGCGGAGCUGUGUUCCUUGGAGGACCGGAAGUGACGGCCGCCAUCUUGGUGCCGCUGGAAACCUAAAGAACCGGAGGGACGGACCCGGAGUCACCUCAAUUCCGGAAUGCGGCCGGAAGUGCUUUCAGGAGGGCUACGGCCAGCUAUGGGCUCAACCCCGGUGCCUGUGGACUGCAGGGAGGGGGCAGAGGGGGGGACAUUGAGGUGCCACGUGGGACACCCCGUAUUUAGGGCUGACAGCACGGUGCUGCUGGAGCUGAGCCUGGAGCUGAACCAGAACCAGUCGUGGGGGGGAGAGAUUCUAUGUAUUGCAUCGGUGGGUGUCAUCUAUGGACGGAAUCACAGGUGGGUUAUGGGGCGACCUUAUGGGAUGAU
rnacentral:lncRNA from 1 species